AUUGAACGCUGGCGGCACGCCUUACACAUGCAAGUCGAACGGUAACAGGUUAAGCUGACGAGUGGCGAACGGGUGAGUAAUAUAUCGGAACGUGCCCAGGCGUGGGGGAUAACGUAGCGAAAGCUACGCUAAUACCGCAUACGAUCUACGGAUGAAAGCGGGGGAUCGCAAGACCUCGCGCGAUUGGAGCGGCCGAUAUCAGAUUAGGUUGUUGGUGAGGUAAAAGCUCACCAAGCCGGCGAUCUGUAGCUGGUCUGAGAGGACGACCAGCCACACUGGAACUGAGACACGGUCCAGACUCCUACGGGAGGCAGCAGGGGGGAAUUUAGGACAAUGGACGCAAGUCUGAUCCAGCAAUGCCGCGUGCAGGACGAAGGCCUUCGGGUUGUAAACUGCUUUUGUACGGAACGAAACGGUGAGCUCUAAUAUAGUUUGCUAAUGACGGUACCGUAAGAAUAAGCACCGGCUAACUACGUGCCAGCCGCCGCAGUAA
rnacentral:rRNA from 1 species